rnacentral:tRNA from 1 species
UCUAAUUUGGCAGAAUUAUUUAUGCUUUGAAUUUAAGCUUCAAUUAUAAGUUUAUUAACUUUUUUAGAA